AAUGUGUAUAGAUGAUAACUGCUGUGAGAGUUCACAGAAAAAAGAAAUCACUUCUAGGUAUGUGUGUGGUGGUCAGACAAGUCUGGAGAUUAGGAGAGUCUUAAAUAAGGGUGGUAAGGGAGUUCUGCAUUUCCUUCUGGAUCUACUAGAGAGCUUCUCAGAGCAUAUGAGAUAGAUAUUGAACUUGGAGCCAAGAAGACCUUCACUGAGUUCUAUAAUUAUAUUUUUAUUAGUAUAGAGAAUUCUCAAGUUCCUUUACAAAUACAACUUGGCACCUUUUCCAUAACUUUUAAGUUGGCUAGAAAUUAAGUGAUUUUCCUAGGAUCCAUGAGCAUCAAAGGGCCACCUCCAGUCACCUGAUCUAUUCUGGCCACUGGACCCAGAUGGCCCCGAGGAGAAAGUGAGACAGAGGCAGAUCUGGGAGCUAGCUGCACCUGAGUUGAUUGCUUGAGACAACAGCAGUAACUCAGGCUGGCUGGUCAUCUGCAAGGCAAAUAAAUGGGUGCAGCACACUAUAAAAAGAGACCAUCACUAGAACCUCAAACAAGAACACAAGACAAAGGAUUGCACUUCCAACCAGUGACAGAUCUUCAAAGAGAGUGCUGUCUGUGUCUGAAGAUACCAGGUAUCAAAGCGAUAAUCUGCAUUGAAAAGUGAAAGGGCUGGAGUCAUAUCUCCUUUAUCCCCAUAUAAUCAAGAAUGAUGGCAUGUUCCUUGAAAGAAUUGAAGAAAGCAAAACAAUCCAUCAAUUCUGAUUUCCCUUAAUGAUUAUUUUCUUCUUCAAAUUUUGGAGGAGGAAAUGAAGAGGGCUUCUGUUCGGAAUCUCAUUUUAAUCAACAAGGAAGAACUAAUGGCUGAAGUAGAAAUGGCAGGUACAUUGGAAGCUAUGGCCACUUUAUCAUUAUAAUUUGUAAUAAAGAAGAAAAGAGAAGAAACCUGAGAAAAGACAGACAUGUGACCUAAAUUUUUGGAAGAACAAUUUUAAAUAGCUUAUCAAAGAGAUGUUGGAUCCUAUAGACUAGAAGAAUCUGAGGAAAAUAGGUCCAAGAAAAAAGAAAUAUUCUUCAAAAAAAGAAGUUUGAAAAACAGAAAUCAUUCCAGUAUUGUGAAAAAGGAAGAGCUGCCUGAAAACAUCAAUGUAGUUUCACAAAUAAAUCAUCAGACAAUCCAGCUUCUUAAAAAGCAUGUCU